UACGUAGGGUGCGAGCGUUGUCCGGAAUUAUUGGGCGUAAAGGGCUCGUAGGCGGUCUGUCGCGUCUGCUGUGAAAACUCAGGGCUUAACCCUGAGCUUGCAGUGGGUACGGGCAGACUAGAGUGCGGUAGGGGAGACUGGAAUUCCUGGUGUAGCCGGUUGAAAUGCGCAGAUAGUCUGGAGGAAUACCGGUGGCGAAGGCGGCAUCCUGGACCGGCAUUGACGCUGAGGUGAGCGAAAGCCAGGGGAGCAAACGGG
rnacentral:rRNA from 1 species